GCUGGAGCACACUGAAGCUGGAGCACAUUGAAGUGGAAGACAGGGCUGCAGGCAGAGACUGGGCAGCCUCUGCUCCAAGGAAGCUGGAGAGCCAGAGAGCAGAUUCCAUAAGAAGAAUAACUCCCAUUCCUCAUGCAUGAGACCCUCUGCUAAAUGCUUCCCACGCACCACCUCCAGAAAUCCUCCCAAGCCAGGACCCCAGCAGUAUUACAGGAACUGGAUGACAGAAAGAAGAGCCAAUAUAACCAGGAACCUACUCUGCCCAUCCCAAGUAAGGAUCUAAAGUCCAACCUCCUCCUCCACUGCCCUCAAGGCCUUUCCUCAUGAAAGCAGAGGUUCUGAAUGCUGAUUUCUGUUUUAAAGUCCAAUAACUCUUUAAACAUCU